rnacentral:rRNA from 1 species
GAAACAUCUUCGGGUUGUGAGGUUAAGCGACUAAGCGUACACGGUGGAUGCCCUGGCAGUCAGAGGCGAUGAAGGACGUGCUAAUCUGCGAUAAGCGUCGGUAAGGUGAUAUGAACCGUUAUAACCGGCGAUUUCCGAAUGGGGAAACCCAGUGUGUUUCGACACACUAUCAUUAACUGAAUCCAUAGGUUAAUGAGGCGAACCGGGGGAACUGAAACAUCUAAGUACCCCGAGGAAAAGAAAUCAACCGAGAUUCCCCCAGUAGCGGCGAGCGAACGGGGAGCAGCCCAGAGCCUGAAUCAGUGUGUGUGUUAGUGGAAGCGUCUGGAAAGGCGCGCGAUACAGGGUGACAGCCCCGUACACAAAAAUGCACAUGCUGUGAGCUCGAUGAGUAGGGCGGGACACGUGGUAUCCUGUCUGAAUAUGGGGGGACCAUCCUCCAAGGCUAAAUACUCCUGACUGACCGAUAGUGAACCAGUACCGUGAGGGAAAGGCGAAAAGAACCCCGGCGAGGGGAGUGAAAAAGAACCUGAAACCGUGUACGUACAAGCAGUGGGAGCACGCUUAGGCGUGUGACUGCGUACCUUUUGUAUAAUGGGUCAGCGACUUAUAUUCUGUAGCAAGGUUAACCGAAUAGGGGAGCCGAAGGGAAACCGAGUCUUAACUGGGCGUUAAGUUGCAGGGUAUAGACCCGAAACCCGGUGAUCUAGCCAUGGGCAGGUUGAAGGUUGGGUAACACUAACUGGAGGACCGAACCGACUAAUGUUGAAAAAUUAGCGGAUGACUUGUGGCUGGGGGUGAAAGGCCAAUCAAACCGGGAGAUAGCUGGUUCUCCCCGAAAGCUAUUUAGGUAGCGCCUCGUGAAUUCAUCUCCGGGGGUAGAGCACUGUUUCGGCAAGGGGGUCAUCCCGACUUACCAACCCGAUGCAAACUGCGAAUACCGGAGAAUGUUAUCACGGGAGACACACGGCGGGUGCUAACGUCCGUCGUGAAGAGGGAAACAACCCAGACCGCCAGCUAAGGUCCCAAAGUCAUGGUUAAGUGGGAAACGAUGUGGGAAGGCCCAGACAGCCAGGAUGUUGGCUUAGAAGCAGCCAUCAUUUAAAGAAAGCGUAAUAGCUCACUGGUCGAGUCGGCCUGCGCGGAAGAUGUAACGGGGCUAAACCAUGCACCGAAGCUGCGGCAGCGACGCUUAUGCGUUGUUGGGUAGGGGAGCGUUCUGUAAGCCUGCGAAGGUGUGCUGUGAGGCAUGCUGGAGGUAUCAGAAGUGCGAAUGCUGACAUAAGUAACGAUAAAGCGGGUGAAAAGCCCGCUCGCCGGAAGACCAAGGGUUCCUGUCCAACGUUAAUCGGGGCAGGGUGAGUCGACCCCUAAGGCGAGGCCGAAAGGCGUAGUCGAUGGGAAACAGGUUAAUAUUCCUGUACUUGGUGUUACUGCGAAGGGGGGACGGAGAAGGCUAUGUUGGCCGGGCGACGGUUGUCCCGGUUUAAGCGUGUAGGCUGGUUUUCCAGGCAAAUCCGGAAAAUCAAGGCUGAGGCGUGAUGACGAGGCACUACGGUGCUGAAGCAACAAAUGCCCUGCUUCCAGGAAAAGCCUCUAAGCAUCAGGUAACAUCAAAUCGUACCCCAAACCGACACAGGUGGUCAGGUAGAGAAUACCAAGGCGCUUGAGAGAACUCGGGUGAAGGAACUAGGCAAAAUGGUGCCGUAACUUCGGGAGAAGGCACGCUGAUAUGUAGGUGAAGCGACUUGCUCGUGGAGCUGAAAUCAGUCGAAGAUACCAGCUGGCUGCAACUGUUUAUUAAAAACACAGCACUGUGCAAACACGAAAGUGGACGUAUACGGUGUGACGCCUGCCCGGUGCCGGAAGGUUAAUUGAUGGGGUUAGCGCAAGCGAAGCUCUUGAUCGAAGCCCCGGUAAACGGCGGCCGUAACUAUAACGGUCCUAAGGUAGCGAAAUUCCUUGUCGGGUAAGUUCCGACCUGCACGAAUGGCGUAAUGAUGGCCAGGCUGUCUCCACCCGAGACUCAGUGAAAUUGAACUCGCUGUGAAGAUGCAGUGUACCCGCGGCAAGACGGAAAGACCCCGUGAACCUUUACUAUAGCUUGACACUGAACAUUGAGCCUUGAUGUGUAGGAUAGGUGGGAGGCUUUGAAGUGUGGACGCCAGUCUGCAUGGAGCCGACCUUGAAAUACCACCCUUUAAUGUUUGAUGUUCUAACGUUGACCCGUAAUCCGGGUUGCGGACAGUGUCUGGUGGGUAGUUUGACUGGGGCGGUCUCCUCCUAAAGAGUAACGGAGGAGCACGAAGGUUGGCUAAUCCUGGUCGGACAUCAGGAGGUUAGUGCAAUGGCAUAAGCCAGCUUGACUGCGAGCGUGACGGCGCGAGCAGGUGCGAAAGCAGGUCAUAGUGAUCCGGUGGUUCUGAAUGGAAGGGCCAUCGCUCAACGGAUAAAAGGUACUCCGGGGAUAACAGGCUGAUACCGCCCAAGAGUUCAUAUCGACGGCGGUGUUUGGCACCUCGAUGUCGGCUCAUCACAUCCUGGGGCUGAAGUAGGUCCCAAGGGUAUGGCUGUUCGCCAUUUAAAGUGGUACGCGAGCUGGGUUUAGAACGUCGUGAGACAGUUCGGUCCCUAUCUGCCGUGGGCGCUGGAGAACUGAGGGGGGCUGCUCCUAGUACGAGAGGACCGGAGUGGACGCAUCACUGGUGUUCGGGUUGUCAUGCCAAUGGCACUGCCCGGUAGCUAAAUGCGGAAGAGAUAAGUGCUGAAAGCAUCUAAGCACGAAACUUGCCCCGAGAUGAGUUCUCCCUGACCCUUUAAGGGUCCUGAAGGAACGUUGAAGACGACGACGUUGAUAGGCCGGGUGUGUAAGCGCAGCGAUGCGUUGAGCUAACCGGUACUAAUGAACCGUGAGGCUUAACCUUA